rnacentral:rRNA from 1 species
UACGUAGGGAGCAAGCGUUGUCCGGAAUCAUUGGGCGUAAAGCGCGCGUAGGUGGCCCCAUAAGUCCGCUGUGAAAGUCAAAGGCUCAACCUUUGAAAGCCGGUGGAUACUGUGGGACUAGAGUACGGAAGAGGCGAGUGGAAUUCCUGGUGUAGCGGUGGAAUGCGCAGAUAUCAGGAAGAACACCCGUGGCGAAAGCGGCUCUCUGGAACGGUACUGACGCUGAGACGCGAAAGCGUGGGGAGCGAACAGG